GACGAACGCUGGCGGCGUGCUUAACACAUGCAAGUCGAACGGAAAGGCCCCUUUGGGGGUGCUCGAGUGGCGAACGGGUGGGUAACACGUGAGUAACCUGCCCUUGCCUUCGGGAUAACUUCCGGAAACUGGGGCUAAUACCGGCUGGGAAUCAUUGCUGCAUGGUGGGGGUUGGAAAGCUUCGGCGGGUUUGGGUGGACUCGCGGGUUGUUUGCUUGUUGGUGGGGUGGUGGGUUACCAAGGGUUUGGCUGGUAGGCGGCCUGGGAGGGCGACCGGCCACAAUGGGACUGAGAUACGGGCCAGACGCCCACGGGAGGCAAGAGGGGGGAAUAUUGCACAAUGGGCGGAAGGCUGGUGCAGCAAAGCCGCGGGCGGGAUGACGGCCUUCGGGUUGUAAACCGGUUUCAGCAGGGGCGAAGCUUGUGGUGACGGUACCUGCAGAAGAAGCACCGGCUAACUACGUG
rnacentral:rRNA from 1 species